rnacentral:miRNA from 1 species
ACUUUUAAAAUCAGUUAUUGAAGAACCGAUUUUGUAUACUGCAUACAAAAUCGGUUCUAAAAUAACCAAUUUUAAAAGU